AUUGAACGCUGGCGGCGUGCCUAACACAUGCAAGUCGAGCGGUAACAGGUGUAGCAAUACAUGCUGACGAGCGGCGGACGGGUGAGUAACGCUUGGGAAUCUGCCUAUUAGUGGGGGACAACCCGGGGAAACUCGGGCUAAUACCGCAUACGCACUACGGUGGAAAGCCGGGGACCGCAAGGCCUGGCGCUAACAGAUGAGCCCAAGUCGGAUUAGCUAGUUGGUAGGGUAACGGCCACCAAGGCGACGAUCCGUAACUGGUCUGAGAGGACGACCAGUCACACCGGAACUGAGACACGGUCCGGACUCCUACGGGAGGCAGCAGUGGGGAAUAUUGGACAAUGGGCGAAAGCCUGAUCCAGCGACGCCGCGUGGGUGAAGAAAGGCCUGCGGGUU
rnacentral:rRNA from 1 species